GCUAAUGUGGUUUUCAAGUUUUGGUUUUUUAUUUUAUUUAUUUAUUUAUUACUGGUGAUUGCUAAAUACUAAUGUUUGGGACUGAGUGGAUAGUUGCUCCAUUGCUAAAUUCUAAUGUUGGGCCGUGCCAAAACUUAAUUGUUGGAAUGUGGGGUUUGGGAAAUUACUCAAAUAAUAAAGCGUACAGUGUAAAAUGAAAAUAUUUUCCUAAGGUGAUAGAAGAUAAUUUCAAGGUUCACCCAGUGCCUAGAGCUGAGUUCCAGUAUGUUCAAGUGCAAGUUUUACUCAAGUAGUUAAAGACUUGACAACCAGCGUCCAGUUGUUAUUGGAUUUCUUGAGAGCUUCAAGCAUUAUUUAGUUACAUGAUGACAAGGUGGGGAUGCGUUAUGAAUGGAAUCGAUACAAUUGUUGGUCAGAUUAGCCAGAUCUAAACUCUGCUUCAUGAAUGGAUGGAAUGGAUACAACUACGGGUCAGCUUAGUCAAAUCUUCUUGAGCCGAAAAUUAGGUUUCUCCACCCUAAAAGCAGUGAUGUGCUCCGAUUUCAUGGUUUCCUUCAACAAUCCACUAGAAUUCUCUCACAUAUUAUUCUUAGCUAAAAUAAUUCACGAAAUGACUACGUUGACUUUUUUUUCUUUGAUUUUCAAUGUAUGUUAACGUUUUUUUCCCUCAGUCUCCUUCUAUUGAAAUAUCCCUCAAAAUGUUUCAUGUAGCAGAUGAAAGAUGACCCGUUAAUUGUUAAUCCAUCAUCUAAUUUUUCCCAUUAUUUAUGAGUUAAGACAUUAUGAAACAAUAAUGCCAAUUGCUGAUGAAUUCAAGAAAGACAAUUCUGCCAAUAAAAGGAAAAAGAAAAGGGAAAAAAAGAGGAAAAGAAACUGACACCAUGCAACAAACAAUAACCUUAAAUCGAGUCUGCCAAUAAAAGGAAAAAGAAAAGGGAAAAAAAAGGGCUAGGUAGCAAAUUUUUUUUGACAAAUAAUGUCGAUAAAGCUUUGGCAUAUAGCAGGAAUUAACCUUGAAGAGUUGGAG
rnacentral:lncRNA from 1 species